UUAUAUGUGUAAUACCAUUCCAGUUUUCACCAGUAAUAUUAUAGGUUACCUGUGAUUAAAUAUAAAAUUAACACACUGUCAAUGCUUACGCAUUGACUCAAGCAGCCAUUUUUUCCCACACCAAUUCUUGCUAUUUUGCAGCAGCAGCCGCUGUCUUACU